AAGAGAUCGGGAUAACACCUGGAAACAGAUGCUAAUACCGGAUAACAACAGAUGAUGCCUAUCAAACUGUUUUAAAAAGAUGGUUCUGCUAUCACUCUUGGAUGGACCUGCGGUGCAUUAGCUAGUUGGUAGGGUAAAGCCUACCAAGGCGAUGAUGCAUAGCCGAGUUGAGAGACUGAUCGGCCACAUUGGGACUGAGACACGGCCCAAACUCCUACGGGAGGCAGCAGGC
rnacentral:rRNA from 1 species